AUGGCUCAUUAAAUCAGUUAUCGUUUAUUUGAUAGUACCUUUACCUGGAUAACCGUGGUAAUUCUAGAGCUAAUACAUGCUAAAAACCCCGACUUCGGGAGGGGUGUAUUUAUUAGAUAAAAAACCAAUGCCCUCUGGGCUCCUUGGUGAUUCAUAAUAACUCAACGAAUCGCAUGGCCUUGCGCCGGCGAUGGUUCAUUCAAAUUUCUGCCCUAUCAACUUUCGAUUGUAAGAUAGAGGCUUACAAUGGUCUUAACGGGUAACGGGGAAUUAGGGUUCUAUUCCGGAGAGGGAGCCUGAGAAACGGCUACCACAUCCAAGGAAGGCAGCAGGCGCGCAAAUUACCCAAUGCUAAUUCAGCGAGGUAGUGACAAUAAAUACUGAUACGGGGCUCUUUCGGGUCUCGUAAUUGGAAUGAGUACAAUCUAAAUCCCUUAACGAGGAACAAUUGGAGGGCAAGUCUGGUGCCAGCAGCCGCGGUAAUUCCAGCUCCAAUAGCGUAUAUUAAAGUUGUUGCCGUUAAAAAGCUCGUAGUUGAACCUUGGACCUGGCUGAUCUGUCCUCCUAAUCGAGCGCACGGAUUCGGUCGGGUCUUUCCUUCUGGGGAACCCUAUGCCCUUCACUGGGUGUAGUGGGGAACCAGGACUUUUACCUUGAAAAAAUUAGAGUGUUCAAAGCAGGCCUUUGCUCGAAUACAUUAGCAUGGAAUAAUAGAAUAGGACAUCGGUUCUAUUUUGUUGGUUUCUAGGACCGCUGUAAUGAUUAAUAGGGAUAGUCGGGGGCGUCAGUAUUCAAUUGUCAGAGGUGAAAUUCUUGGAUUUAUUGAAGACUAACUACUGCGAAAGCAUUCGCCAAGGAUGUUUUCAUUAAUCAGUGAACGAAAGUUAGGGGAUCGAAGACGAUCAGAUACCGUCGUAGUCUUAACCAUAAACUAUGCCGACUAGGGAUCGGACGGUGGUUUUUUUAUGCCCCGUUCGGCACCUUACGAGAAAUC
rnacentral:rRNA from 1 species